rnacentral:rRNA from 1 species
UACGGGGGGAGCAAGCGUUGUUCGGAUUUACUGGGCGUAAAGGGCGCGUAGGCGGCGCAACAAGUCACUUGUGAAAUCUCCGGGCUUAACCCGGAGCGGCCAAGUGAUACUGUCGUGCUAGAGUGCGGAAGGGGCUACUGGAAUUCUCGGUGUAGCGGUGAAAUGCGUAGAUAUCGGAAGGAACGCCGGUGGCGAAAGCGACUGUCUGGGGUGCCUGUGACGCUGAGGCGCGAAAGCCAGGGGAUCAAACGGG